UAAAAGUAGAGUUACCUUUUUACUCUUUUCUUUUCUCCCACCUUUUGGACUCGUUUGCUAGUUGUCAUUUACUUUUCAUUGUACUUCUUUUCUUCUUUGCAUGGUUCACCGAGGGAGACAAGGAAGAAGGAAGAAGGAAGAAGGAUUUCAAAAGGGGGUUUCUUAAGGAAGAUGAAGAGAUGAGAAAAUCAACAAGAUGAAGUUUAUAGUAGUUCAGCAUAUAGCUUACAUCCACUCUUCAAGAAGUUGAGGCUCUCUUGCAGAAGAUGGUUCAACAAAUUUCAACACAGGUUGCUUAGAUUUGUUAGAAGGAAGAGGGGUGAUGAUAGUUCUUUGGAGGUUGAAGAAGAAGAGCUUGCUUCAGUUCCCACGGUGGAAGAAAGGAUCGGAGCAAAAAAGGAGAAGAAGACGUGGGUCAGAAUUGCUCUGAUACCAUAUAAACUAAUGUCCAACAGUUAAUAAUUGAGGUGUUUUCUCAUUAAUUUAACUGAUGGUAAUUAGGAGUAUUUACAGUACUCUUUCACCGUACAAAUUUGGAAAACAAAAUAACAAAAAUAACUAAUUAUAAUACAUAAUUUAUACA